rnacentral:lncRNA from 1 species
AUGCGCAGAAAAAGAAUUGUCCUCAUAAAAUUCCAAUAAAAGGAAGCUAUUGUGCUCCAACUAUAUGUUUGGAUAAGUGUAAGAAGCAACAUGGAACUGUUGGUAGUUGUGCGGAAGAAAAAGGAUUUUGUAACUGCGCUUGUAAAUAAGGGUUCUCACUAAGUGUUAUGAAUCUAGUAAUGUCCAACCAAAGUUUUAUAUUAUUUCUUUUAACAAUAAGUCUAAAUGUUUGUUUUUGAUUUGUGGAUCUAUUUAUAAUAAAUAAUAAUAUGAAUGUUAAAUAAAUACAAAUGUGUAAAACAAGAGUGGACUAUUAAUAAAAUAUAUGAUCACAUUAUUGUUAGAAGUAACCAAUAUUACGUGUAAAAUCAAAAGCUUAAGAAGAGUUAAAAAGAUAGAGACGAAAUCACAACCAAUAUUUAAAUGUGAGAUAAUCAACUAACACGUAAUUUUGUACACAUUGUAAAAAAAAAAAGCAAGAGUUGAUUAUCAAACAAAAAAGUGUUAGAAAGAGCAACAGAUCAUUCAAGGGCAGACUAGGUUUGAAUUGGCUUGACAGAUGGGAUGCAGACAUGCCAUAGGAAAGUCUUACAAACUCAUCAGACAACGCAAAGAAAAGUGAUAGCAUUGUUUCUGAACAUGACAAAGCUUUGGUCAUGAAGAAAAAUUUCACAACCAGAGUUUUUGGUAGACCUCCUCCAAUGUCAUCAUCAGCUACGAGUUUUGAGACUUCAUCCACAUCUCAGUCUCUAUUUCAAUUCUCAUGAAGUUUCCUUUAGAGAAGAGGUUAUUACAAAAAGCCAAGUUACAUGAACCUAACACAAUCUAUCAAAGGUAAGAAGAGACGAUCAACCAGUAUUCUUCAUCUUCUUGUUUCAAAAUCACUGUUUGAAAAUAAACAGUCAAUGUCUUACAACGAAGAUGUGAAUGUAAAGUGUUGUGCAUGUUCGGAUCCAUCUUGCACCCAGUGGAGUGAUCUAUAUCCACAUGCUCAAGUAACAAGGAGAAAUAUGUAGGCAAAGAAGCUAAAGUAAACAUUGUUUCAUUAAAUCAUUAAAGCAUUUCAACACCUUGACGGUUCUAAAACACACACAAAAUGCUGAUUUAUUGAUAUAUAAGCAACUUCUAUGUAUGUUUUUUUACAUACGAGUUAGUAUGAAAACCGCUGCAAUGUUGUUGUUUGACCACUUUUAUUAUUUAAUAGUUAACUUCUGAUGAUUCUAAGAUAAUAUGUUAUUCCCAACUCUUGUCAAUAUGAAAGCAAGAGCAAAGUUUCAUCUUUAUACAUGAAAGACCAAUAAAAUGACCAAAAAACAUAGUUUAGACGAAAGCUUCCUAAUAAAAUUUAUUCUCACUAUCUAAAUCUAAAACUGAAUUCAAUUCAUCUAUCUGAUUAUUAUAUAGUUUUCAUUUUCGUUAUUUUAUUGAAUUGAGUAAAAAAAAUUCAAUUAUAAACUUAGUAAUUUUUUAGUAUAAUCUUAUAAAUUAUGUAACGUGUGGGACAUCCACCUAAUAAACUAUUAAUUUAAAUAGUAAUGUUUGAAAAGUAUUUUAUUGACAUUGUUUUAAAUAAAUUCAUAAUUCUAAAAAUAGCAAUAACUUUUUGAAAACAUCAGAUUUAUGUACACGCAUAGGACACAUACCUUUUUAUUUACUUAAAGGUAAAUGAACGAGUCUAAAUUUUCCACAUGUUAUAUGAGCAAAACAUGGAUUUUUCUAAAUUGGAUUAGUUUUUAUCGGAACACAUUAAUGUGCGUUUCUUAAAUUAGAUUUUUAAUAUGUAUAUAUACGUAUGAAUACUUCUUAUAUUUAAAUAAAAAAUAGAAUACUUCAUCUCUUUCCUAAAUUUUUAAGCCAAUAUCAAUCCAUUUCUAUAAUCCAAGAUGAAGAAAUCCCUUCAACUCUCGUUUACGUUCUUAAUUAUCUCCAUCAUUCUCUCACAAGGUUUGUAUUUACAUCUUAAUAUAUUGCAUAUAUUAAUUCCAUAAUAAAUUGAUUAUACUAAAAUUUGACUUUUAAAAUAUUGUAAACCUCAAUAUAAUAAAUUUUAUUAACUAUAUAAAACAUAGCAUUAAAUUAUCUCUUUGUGUAAAAUUCAUAAAUUUGCAGAAGGCUAGAAAAUAUAGAUAGUAUGGUCAGAAAUGUUUGCGUUAAAAUUGAAAGGAUCAACCAUGAAGUAUUUAACUGUUUUUUAUACUUUAUGCCAUUUAUAAUUUUUUUAAUGUAUGGAUUUAUAUAUGAUGAAGAACUAUUAUGAUAAAAUAAUAUUAAAUAAUUUCAUUUUUAUCAUUUAUUUAUGAACAUUUUGUCCUGCACAUACAAAUGAUUUAACCAACAUUUUUCAUAAUAUGGAUAAACUAUAGUUCUUACGUAAAUGUAUUUGAUACUUUUAAUUAAAUUUAUAUAUUUUUAUAGGUAAUAUGUUAUGCUUUUCUAAUACAUACAGUAGUUGUUCAUAAAAUAUCAAAAUUUUAUACGUAAUGUUUAUUAAUAUGCACACAAUUCUUAAAACCAUAUUUUUCACAAAAUAAAAAAUAAUGUGUGACCAAACGAUAUGCUCAUUUUUUUUAUUUACUGGCAAAAUAUAUUUCUUUUUUUUUUUGCUUAUAACGUUUAAAACGAAAUGUUAUUAAACAUUUUUUGCUGAUAAAUAAAUUUUUUAUUUCAUAAAAUCUAUAUAUAUAUUCUAACAAUUAAAAUUUAAUAUUUUAAUAUCUUACAGGAAUGAUGGCAGAUGCGCAGAAAAAGAAUUGCCCUCAUAAAAUUCCAAUAAAAGGAAGCUAUUGUAUUCCAACUAAAUGUUUGGAUAUGUGUAAGAAGCAACAUGGAACUCUUGGUAGUUGUUCGGAAGAAAAAGGAUUUUGUAACUGCGCUUGUAAGUAAGGGUUCUCACUAAGUGUUAUGAAUCUAGUAAUGUCCAACCAAAGUUUUAUAUUAUUUCUUUUAACAAUAAGUCUAAAUGUUUGUCUCUGAUUUGUGGAUCUAUUUAUAAUAAAUAAUAAUAUGAAUGUUAAAUAAAUACAAAUGUGUAAAACAAGAGUGGACUAUUAAUAAAAUAUAUGAUCACAUUAUUGUUAGAAGUAACCCAUAUUACUUGAAAAAUCAAAAGCUUAAGAAGAGUUAAAAAGAUAGAUAUGAAAUCACAACCAAUAUUUAAAUGUGAGAUAAUCAACUAACAUGUAAUUUUGUACACAUUGUAAAAAAAAAAAAAAAACAAGAGUUGAUUAUCAAACAAAAAAGUGUUAGAAAGAGCAACAGAUCAUGCAAGGGCAGUCUAGGUUUGAAUUGGCUUGACAGAUGGGUUGCAGACAUGCCAUAGGAAAGUCCUACAAACUCAUCAGACAUCAAAGAAAAUUGAUAGCAUUGUUUCUGAACAUGACAAAGCUCUGGUCAUGAAGAAAAAUUUCACAGCCAAAGUUUUUGGUAGACCUUCUCCGAUUUCAUCAUCAGCUACGAGUUUUGAGACUUCAUCCACAUCUCAGUCUCCAUUUCCAUUCUCAUGAAGUUUUCUUUAGGGAAGAGGUUAUUACAGAAAGCCAAGUUACAUGAACCUAACACAAUCUAUCAAAGGUAAGAAGAGACGAUCAACCAGUAUUCUUCAUCUUCUUGUUCCGAAAUCACUGUUUGAAAAGAAACAGUCAAUGUCUUACAACGAAGAUGUGAAUGUAAAGUGUUGUGCAUGUUCGGAUCCAUCUUGCACCCAGUGGAAUGAUCUAUAUCUACAUGCUCAAGUAACAAGGAGAAAUAUGUGGGCAAAGAAGCUAAAGUAAACAUUGUUUCAUUAAAUCUUUAAAGCAUUUCAACACCUUGAGAGUUCUAAAACACACACAAAAUACCGAUUUAUAGAUAUAUAAGCAACUUCUAUGUAUGUUCUUUUACAUAUGAGUUAGUAUGAAAAUUGCUGCAAUGUUGUUGUUUGACCACUUUUAUUAUUUAAUAGUUAACUUCUGAUGAUUCUAAGAUAACAUGUUCUUCCCAACUCUUGUCAAUAUGAAACCAAGAGCAAAGUUUCAUCUUUAGACAUGAAAGACCUAUAAAAUGACAAAAUAGCAUAGUUUAGACGAAAGCUUCCUAAUAAAAUUUAUUCUCACUAUCUAAAUCUAAAACUGAAUUCAAUUCAUCUAUUUGAUUAUUAUAUAGUUUUCAUUUUUCAUUAUUUUAUUGAAUUGAGUAAAAAAAUUUAAUUAUAAACUUACUAAUUUUUUAAUAUAAUCUCAUAAAUUAUGUUACGUGUGGGACAUCCACCUAAUAAACUAUUAAUUUAAAUAGUAAUGUUCGAAAAGUAUUUUAUUGACAUUGUUUUAAAUAAAUUCAGAAUUCUAAAAAUAGCAAUAACUUUUUGAGAACAUCAGAUUUAUGUACACGCAUAGGACACAUACCUUUUUAUUUACUUAAAGGAAAAUGAACGAGUCUAAAUCUUCCACAUGUUAUAUGAGCAAAACAUGAAUUUUUCUAAAUUAGAUUCGUUUAAAUCAGAACAUAUUAAUGUGAGUUUCUUAAAUUAGAUUUUUAAUAUGUAUAUAUACGUAAGAAUACUUCUUAUGUUUUAAAAUAAAAAAUAGAAUACUUCAUCUCUUUCCUAAAUUUUUAAGCCAAUAUCAAUCCAUUUCUAUAAUCUAAGAUGAAGAAAUCCCUUCAACUCUCUUUUUCGUUCUUAAUUAUCUCCAUCAUUCUCUCACAUGGUUUGUAUUUUCAUCUUAAUAUAUUGCAUAUAGUAAUUCCAUAAUAAAUUGAUUAUACUAAAAUUUGACUUUUAAAAUAUUGUCAACCCCCAUAUAAUAAAUUUUAUUUACUAUAUAAAACAUAGCAUUAAAUUAUCUCUUUGUGUAAAAUUCAUAACUUUGCAGAAGGCUAGAAAAUAUAGAUAGUAUAGUCAGAAAUGUUUGCGUUAAAAUUGAAAGGAUCAACCAUGGAGUAUUUAAAUGUUUUUUAUACUUUAUGCCAUUUAUAAUUUUUUUAAUGUAUGGGUUUAUAUAUGAUGAAGAACUAUUAUGAUAAAAUAAUAUUAAAUAAUUUCAUUUUUAUCAUCUAUUUAUGAACAUUUUGUCCUGCACAUACAAAUGAUUUAACCAACAUUUUUAAUAAUAUGGAUGAACUAUAGCUCUUACGUAAAUUUAUUUGAUAUUUUUAAUUAAAUUUAUAUAUUUUUAUAGGUAAUUUGUUAUGCUUUUCCAAUACAUACAGUAGUUGUUAUUAAAAUAUCAAAAUUUAAUACGUAAUGUUUAUUAAUAUGCACACAAUUCUUAAAACCAUAUUUUUAAAAAAUAAUGUGUGACCAAACGAUAUGCUCAUUUUUUUAUUUACUAGCAAAAUAUAUUUCUUUUCUUACUUAUAACGUUUAAAAAGAAAUGUUAUUAAACAUUUUUUGCUGAUAAAUAAAUUUUAUAUUUCAUAAAAUCUAAAUAUAUUUUUUAACAAUUAAAAUUUGAAAUUUUUAUAUCUUACAGGAAUGAUGGCAGAUGCGCAGAAAAAGAAUUGUCCUCAUAAAAUUCCAAUAAAAGGAAGUUAUUGUGCUCCAACUAUAUGUUUGGAUAUGUGUAAGAAGCAACAUGGAACUGUUGGUAGUUGUGCGGAAUAAAAAUGAUUUUGUAACUGCGCUUGUAAGUAAGAGUUCUCACUAAGUGUAAUGAAUCUAGUAAUGUCCAACCAAAGUUUUAUAUUAUUUCUUUUAACAAUAAGUCUAAAUGUUUGUCUCAGAUUUGUGGAUCUAUUUAUAAUAAAUAAUAAUAUGAAUGU